rnacentral:tRNA from 1 species
GGGCGUAUAGCUCAAUUGGUUAGAGCACCGAACUCAUAAUUCGUAGGUUCACGGUUCGAGUCCGUGUACGCCCACCA